rnacentral:rRNA from 1 species
CCCUUUGGGGUGUGACUGCGUACCUUUUGUAUAAUGGGUCAGCGACUUAUAUUCUGUAGCAAGGUUAACCGAAUAGGGGAGCCGGAGGGAAACCGAGUCUUAAUUGGGCGUUAAGUUGCAGGGUAUAGACCCGAAACCCGGUGAUCUAGCCAUGGGCAGGUUGAAGGUUGGGUAACACUAACUGGAGGACCGAACCGACUAAUGUUGAAAAAUUAGCGGAUGACCUGUGGCUGGGGGUGAAAGGCCAAUCAAACCGGGAGAUAGCUGGUUCUCCCCGAAAGCUAUUUAGGUAGCGCCUCGUGAAUUCAUCUCCGGGGGUAGAGCACUGUUUCGGCUAGGGGGCCAUCCCGGCUUACCAACCCGAUGCAAACUGCGAAUACCGGAGAAUGUUAUCACGGGAGACACACGGCGGGUGCUAACGUCCGUCGUGAAGAGGGAAACAACCCAGACCGCCAGCUAAGGUCCCAAAGUCAUGGUUAAGUGGGAAACGAUGUGGGAAGGCCCAGACAGCCAGGAUGUUGGCUUAGAAGCAGCCAUCAUUUAAAGAAAGCGUAAUAGCUCACUGGUCGAGUCGGCCUGCGCGGAAGAUGUAACGGGGCUAAACCAUGCACCGAAGCUGCGGCAGCGACGCUGAUGCGUUGUUGGGUAGGGGAGCGUUCUGUAAGCCUGCGAAGGUGGCCUGUGAGGGUUGCUGGAGGUAUCAGAAGUGCGAAUGCUGACAUAAGUAACGAUAAAGCGGGUGAAAAGCCCGCUCGCCGGAAGACCAAGGGUUCCUGUCCAACGUUAAUCGGGGCAGGGUGAGUCGACCCCUAAGGCGAGGCCGAAAGGCGUAGUCGAUGGGAAACGGGUUAAUAUUCCCGUACUUGGUGUUACUGCGAAGGGGGGACGGAGAAGGCUAUGUUGGCCGGGCGACGGUUGUCCCGGUUUAAGCGUGUAGGUGUGUGUUCCAGGUAAAUCCGGUUCACUUUAACACUGAGGCGUGAUGACGAGGCACUACGGUGCUGAAGCAACAAAUGCCCUGCUUCCAGGAAAAGCCUCUAAGCAUCAGGUAACAUCAAAUCGUACCCCAAACCGACACAGGUGGUCAGGUAGAGAAUACCAAGGCGCUUGAGAGAACUCGGGUGAAGGAACUAGGCAAAAUGGUGCCGUAACUUCGGGAGAAGGCACGCUGACA